GAUAAAUCAUUUUCACUGAAACUCACUUUGUGAGACCGUCAACAUGUUACCGAGGGUUUCUUUAAAGUAUUACCAAAUCAGUAUAAACAGUCUAGUCAUGAUAAUAAGUUCUUGCUUUUAGAUUCCAUCUUUUACAACAGAGUAAAAGCCUAGAAAUUUCACUUAACAAAAAAGACGGGCAGUGAACUACAAGUAUUUAUUCAGUCCUCAAUCCUUAGCUCUGCAACUGCAUCAGUAUCUUAAACAACGUAAUAAACAGCAUGUGGUUUGCCAUUAUUUUGUGUCUGAACAAGUUUUAUGGCUUUGGAAUCUGCUGUCAGACAUUGCUUGGUACUGUCAAAUACGCAUAGAUUAUCAUCAAUUGUCACAAGAAUGGGGAUGAUGCAUUGAUCAAGUUGAAUAAGGUCUCGAUACAAAGCUUCGGAGGAAUCUGCCCAAAUCCUCUCACCAAAUCAACCUUUGAAGUUCAUUUUUUGGAACAGAUACUUGGGAUGGAAAUGCUUUACAACCUUCGCUAAUUCUGGAUUUUGAUUCUCUACCAUACAAUCAAUCAGUUUUUAAGGCAUCAACAUAUCUCUACUUGGUAUUAAAUAUAACUCAUUGGACUUGAGAAAAUAUGUGCAGGUGCAUUGGGAAUGCAAUUAAGCAUUGUACGUUCAACUUUACAAUCCCACACAAAGAAAAUACAAAGUUUAAGCAAGGAAUGUGUCUAUAAAUAAGAAGCUCGAAGCAACAUGAUUCAUACUUACCUGGACGGGGUUGAUGGGCGAUCAAGAAGGUCCAUAGCCUAGGUCAGUGGCAUCUAUUGCACUGAGGAUGGGUGCUGGCUUAAGGUCUCCCCAAGCGGGAGAGCCUACGUCAAAAUUUGUGGCAGAGGGGGCUGCGCAAGCCGCGGCCCCUGUCCAAUUCUAGCUCAAGACUUUUUUUAAGUCCUACUUGUAAUUCUAUGGCAACAUUUCCAUGGGAAAUUAUGUUUUGUUGUUUUUCUUCUCUUUCAUUAUUUGUUGGUUCGGGUCUUAAUCCCCUGUAUUGUGAACAGAAAUUUGUUACACAUGAUGCAUUGAAACUUUGAACUUCCA